GACCCCGCACAAGUAGUGGAGCAUGUGGUUUAAUUCGAAGAUACGCGCAGAACCUUACCAACACUUGACAUGUUCGUCGCGACUCUAAGAGAUUAGAGUUUUCGGUUCGGCCGGACGAAACACAGGUGCUGCAUGGCUGUCGUCAGCUCGUGUCGUGAGAUGUUGGGUUAAGUCCCGCAACGAGCGCAACCCACGUCGUUAGUUGCCAGCAUUUAGUUGGGCACUCUAGCGAGACCGCCGGUGAUAAACCGGAGGAAGGUGUGGAUGACGUCAAGUCAUCAUGCCCCUUACAUCCCUGGGCUACACACCGUACUACAAUGCUACGGACAAAGGGCAGCAAACUCGCGAGAGCUAGCAAAUCCCAUAAACCGUGGCUCAGUUCAGAUCGUAGGCUGCAACUCGCCUACGUG
rnacentral:rRNA from 1 species